UAGAGCAGAGUGACGAGGAAGAGGACUGUGAAGGUGAGCCACAGGCGGCCCGCGUCCUCCAGGUCCACGUAGUCAUCGCUGCCCUCGUCCUGGCUGCCUGGGGUCAAGGUGGCCAGACCUGGGGAGGAGCCAGUGCCAGUCAGAAGGUCGGCCCUGUGCCCACGCUGGCACAUGCAAGGGGCGCUGCCCGGGGCGCUCCCACUAUCCUGGGCAGUGUGUGCCUACGGGCUUCUCCCUGCCAGGCUGUGCUGGGCCCUACGGGUCUCAGCGCCCAGAGGGGCAGCUGGACCAGAAGCAAACUCGCUCACACGGAAGCCUUCAUGCCAGUGUGAUGUGGCGUCAGGGGGUGGUGCCGCUGACGCUGGUGUGGACACACGGGACCAGGUGGCUGCUGGGUGAGGGCAGAAAGACAAGACGGUGCCAGCCAGGCGGGCGGCAGGGUGGGGGGCAGCAUCAUGACUGCCUGUGUCUGCAGCGUCAGCUGGGUCCGGGUCGACUGGUGACCUUUCCCAAGAACAAGGUUCGUUCAGCAAAGUGGAUCAAAAUGUCAUUCCUGGGAGUUCCCUGGUGGUCCAGCGGUUAGGACUCGGGGCUUUCGCCCCGUGGCCGAGAAAGAAAAACAAAGUCAGUCCUGCGGGAGCUUCGAGUUGGGGGCCAGGACAGGCAGGGUGCUGCUGUCCAGGCCCAGGACCACCCGCUUCUGCGGGGAGCACCCUGGAAUCCGGCAGGACGCCCGUGAGCAGAGGUAGGAGCGCGGAGUCCUGGGGCCCGUCCCACAUCCCGGAACGUCCUCGUCAUUCUUUCCAGGAGCAUCUGAGGCGGGGCUACCUCGUGCUUGACCAGAGCUACCCGAAGUGGGUCUGCCGGUGCUGCCGGCCAGGAACCGGGGUCACAGGGCAUGGGACAUAGUGAUUAGUCGCUAUUGCAGUCUACACGGGUACAGGCCGAUGACUAAUUGGAAAAAUUUGAAAAGGCCGCUGUCUUCUGCAGCAGAGAACUUGAAGGGGCCUGCUCUAGACACUCGGAAUGCAGCGGUGUCUCCUUCGCAUGUCUCAGAAGCACUGGCUGGUGUGCUGGGCAGAGAGCAGCAAGUGGACUUGCAGGGAGCGAGCGGGCGCACACUGUCCUCUCUUGGGCUGGGGGUGAGGGUUCAUCGUUUUCGCCAGGAGCGGAGUCGGGCUGUGGGGCGGGAUCCUCGGUUCCCGGCUCUAAGUGUUUGGGUGGGGCUUUGGGCUCUAAGCCUCAGGCGAGGCUGGAGCUCUCUUGCUGGCUUUCCAUUCUGCUCCUAGCCGCUGCUGGAUCAGCAGAGGUCCUGGGGGGCAGGGGAUCAGCGGGUGAAGGGGCUUUUCUGGGGCUCGUCCGAGUCUCCCCUGCCCCAGGGCAGCCCAUGAAGGUGCCGCAUCUCGGCUGAUUCCCUCAGGCUCCUCUCUCGUGGAUGCCCAGGGCUCUGUCCACCGGUGCUGGGGAGGAGGCGAAACUACCAGGCCAGGAAUUUAGGUCAGUUGGGCUUCUGUGAGUCCUUAGCUCUUCAGUGGCUUUAAAUGAAUAUGACUUUCACAAUUUUCUUGGUGGUGUCCUUUUGGUACUGCGCGAGUGGCUGUCUCAGUAUCUUUUACAUCCUAAGUGGAAGCAGGCCCUGAGG
rnacentral:lncRNA from 1 species